rnacentral:rRNA from 1 species
GGGAGGCAGCAGUGGGGAAUUUUCCGCAAUGGGCGCAAGCCUGACGGAGCAAUACCGCGUGAGGGACGACGGUAAAUAAAUUGUAAACCUCUUUUUUCAGAGAAGAAGACAUGACGGUAUCUGAAGAAUAAGCAUCGGCUAACUCCGUGCCAGCAGCCGCGGUAACACGGAGGAUGCAAGCGUUGUCCGGAAUUAUUGGGCGUAAAGCGUCUGCAGGUGGUUUAGAAAGUCUGCUGUUAAAGACUGGGGCUUAACCCCAGGAAAGCAGUGGAAACUACUAGACUAGAGUAUGGUAGGGGUAGAGGGAAUUCCCAGUGUAGCGGUGAAAUGCGUAGAUAUUGGGAAGAACACCAGUGGCGAAAGCGCUCUACUGGACCAUUACUGACACUCAGAGACGAAAGCUAGGGGAGCGAAUGGGAUUAGAUACCCCAGUAGUCCUAGCCGUAAACGAUGGAUACUAGAUGUUGCCUACUUUUUGUAUGCAGUAUCGUAGCUAACGCGUAAGAUCCCGCCUGGG